UACAGAGGUCUCAAGCGUUGUUCGGAUUCAUUGGGCGUAAAGGGUGCGUAGGCGGCGCGGUGAGUCGGGUGUGAAAUCUCGGAGCUUAACUCCGAAACUGCAUUCGAUACUGCUGUGCUUGAGGACUGGAGAGGAGACUGGAAUUUACGGUGUAGCGGUGAAAUGCGUAGAUAUCGUAAGGAAGACCAGUGGCGAAGGCGGGUCUCUGGACAGUUCCUGACGCUGAGGCACGAAGGCCAGGGGAGCAAACGGG
rnacentral:rRNA from 1 species